UGGUUGGUGGUCAUCUGGGAAUAUUCAGCUGCAGUUUAUCUCAGCACCAACAAAAAGAACUGGUUUUGUUUGAUUGCAGAAGAGGUAGUCUUGUGAUACCUUUACAACAGCUUUCUGAGAACAGAGACUCAUUAUCUCAACAUUCAAGAAAGAAGAAGGAGGAGAAGGAGGAAAAGACAGAAGAAUAAGGAAGAUGAGGCCGGGCGCGGUGGCUCACGCUUGUAAUCCCAGCACUUUGGGAGGCCGAGGCGGGCGGAUCACGAGGUCAGGAGAUCGAGACCACGGUGAAACCCCGUCUCUACUAAAAAUACAAAAAAAUUAGCCGGGCGUGGUGGCGGGCGCCUGUAGUCCCAGCUACUCGGAGAGGCUGAGGCAGGAGAAUGGCGUGAACCCAGGAGGCGGAGCUUGCAGUGAGCCGAGAUUGUGCCACUGCACUCCAGCCUGGGCGACAGAGUGAGACUCCGUCUCAAAAAAAAAAAAAAAAAAAAAAAAAAAAAAAAAGAAGAAUAAGGAAGAUGAAGAAGGCUGAACUGCUGGAGUUUGUGUGGAGCAGAUCCAAGUCAGUUUAGUUGUUCCCUAAAACCCCAGAAACAGGAAAGAGCCUAGCAGAGAUCAGUUAAGCUUCAUUGCUAACCUUCAGAUGCAUUGGUGCGAACCAACUUGAAGCACAGUUCAGGAAGCCAGUAAGCUUGUGAGCAAUAAUAAAUGCUUAUUG